rnacentral:tRNA from 2 species
UGCAGAGUGGCCGAGAGGGAAAGCGGCGUCGUCACAUGGCGUUUCAUGUCGGUUCGAUUCCGAUCUCUGCAA